UGGUGGAGUGAUUUGUCUAGUUAAUUCCGUUAACGAACGAGACCUCGACCUGCUAAAUAGUUCGGCGAAUUCUUUACGGAUUCGUGCGUGACUUCUUAGAGGGACUAUCGGUGUGUAGCCGAUGGAAGUUCGAGGCAAUAACA
rnacentral:rRNA from 1 species